rnacentral:rRNA from 1 species
UAUGAAGAAUUUUUCCCAGUACGAAAGGACCGGAAAAAUGAGGCCAAUACUACAACGCAUGCCUUCUCUCUAAAUAAUGACCUCAACUAAAUUACCAAGAGACACCCCACACCAUUCAAUCCUAGAAAAGGAUC